rfam:Macaca mulatta chromosome 3, whole genome shotgun sequence.
AAUGUGACCAAGUUGAGUGAGUCAUUUUCUGGUCUGUAACCAAGAUAAGGGGCCCUCAAGUUUGCCACCUGAAUGAGGGCCUGCC